rnacentral:rRNA from 1 species
UAACGAAUCUUCCGCAAUGGGCGCAAGCCUGACGGAGCAAUGCCGCGUGCGGGAUGAAGUACCUCUGGUAUGUAAACCGCUGUCGGGGGGUAGAACCAAUGAUCACCCCCAAAGGAAGUGGCGACUAACUCUGUGCCAGCAGUCGCGGUAAUACAGAGGCCACAAGCGUUAGUCGGAAUCACUGGGCGUAAAGGGCUCGUAGGCGGCCAACUAAGUCAGACGUGAAAUCCCUCGGCUUAACCGGGGAACUGCGUCUGAUACUGGAUGGCUUGAGGUUGGGAGAGGGAUGCGGAAUUCCAGGUGUAGCGGUGAAAUGCGUAGAUAUCUGGAGGAACACCGGUGGCGAAGGCGACAUCCUGGACCAAUUCUGACGCUGAGGAGCGAAAGCCAGGGGAGCAAACGGGAUUAGAUACCCACGUAGUCCCUGAGCGGGCUGGCAAGGCGCAU